UUGUAAGUUUUGCGACUGAGUGGCGGACGGGUGAGUAACGCGUGGGUAACCUGCCUCAUACAGGGGGAUAACGCAUCGAAAGAUGUGCUAAUACCGCGUAAGACCACAGCCUCACAUGGGGCAGAGGUCAAAGGAGCAAUCCGGAUAAAGAUGGGCUCGCGUCCGAUUAGCUAGUUGGUGAGAUAACAGCCCACCAAGGCGACGAUCGGUAGCCGACCUGAGAGGGUGAUCGGCCACAUUGGAACUGAGAGACGGUCCAGACUCC
rnacentral:rRNA from 1 species